UAUGUGUUUAAAAGCAAUGCAUAUACAUGCCUUUAAAAGACAAAAGUAAACGAGAAAGAUUUCAAUAGAACAGAGCUGCAGCUCUUCCAUCAUUAUUAAACUCCGAAUGAAGUCUGAGCUGGUUGGUCUAUCCGCUGGAACGGCUUGACGAAAGAACUUCCUGACUUGUGAUUUGAAUUAUUAUUGACAAUGUAAUUAACGCCCAAAUAAAAAUAUCUAUAUUACAAAUUAUCACAAGUGGGAUAGACCAACACCAGACACCAGAUAAAGAAUUGAAGUUCGUAUUAGUAGAGAUGUCCGUUCUGUUAUUAUUCUCGUUUAAUAAUUUUAAAGUGAAUUUGAAAUUUGCAAAAUUAAUGUUGACAGUGUCAUUAAAUUAUAUUUUGAGUGAUGGACUAAAAUUAUUAUAAGUGAGUCGAAAAGAGUUGGUUCAAAAACAGGUUCAAGUGUAUUACAUAGAAAAGAGGUGUUUCAAAGCAAAGGUUCAAAGUGUAUUGAAAACUAUGUUCAUUAUUAUUAUAAGAAAUUAUCAAUGUUGAAUGAAUUAGAAAUCUUUGGAAAACGAGAUGUUUCGUGUAUUAUCGGGGGAGUUACAGAUGUAUUAGUGAGAACUACUGCUAAAGCAGGCCAGUAUGAAAGUCCGGAAAUGCUCUUAUGUUAUCUUAGCAGUUUGAUGGAAACGCAAAUUUCGGAUACAGGAUUUCAGCGCAAGUCACAGAAGACAGUUAUUUGUUACAAUUGUAAUAAGCCAGGGCAUAAAUUUAGAUACUGUAAAAUGCGAAAUUAAAAUGUUGCACAUU